rnacentral:rRNA from 1 species
UACAGAGGGGGCAAGCGUUAUUCGGAAUUAUUGGGCGUAAAGGGCGCGUAGGCGGCUUUGCAAGUGGCGGGUGAAAUCCCUCGGCUUAACCGAGGAACUGCCUGCCAGACUGUGAGGCUUGAGACCGGGAGAGGUGAGUGGAAUUCCUAGUGUAGAGGUGAAAAUUCGUAGAUAUUAGGAAGAACACCAGUGGCGAAGGCGGCUCACUGGUCCGGUACUGACGCUGAGGUGCGAAAGCGUGGGGAGCAAACAGG